GGGGAGGAUUCCCUUGUUUUGGGGAGAAUUCCCUUAUUUUGGGAAGGCUCCGCUGCCGUUUUCAGUCUGGGAAGGGAGCUUGAAAUUUUGGGGAGGAUUCCCCUCGUUUUGGGGAGGCUCCGCUGCUGUUUUCAGUCCACGAGGGGAGCCCGAAAUUUUGGGGAGGAUUCCCUGAUUUUGAGGAAGGUCUGCUGCCAUUUUCACUCCUUUUGGGGAGAAUUCCCCUCGUUUUGGGGAGGCUCUGCCGUGGCUUUCAGGAAGCGAGGGGAGCUCCCAGUUUUGGGGAGGAUUUUUUGAUUCUGGUGAGGGUCUGCUGCCAUUUUCACCCCUACUUUGGGGCAAAUUCCCUUGUUCCGGGUCAACCCUGCUGCUGUUUUCGCUCUUAUUUUGGGGCAAAUUCCCUCGUUCUGGGGCAGCCCCGCUGCCGUUUUCGCUUUUAUUUUGGGGACAAUUCAUUUUGGGGAGGCUCUGCUGUGGUUUUCAGUCUGCGAGGGGAGCUCCCAGUUUUGGGGAGGAUUCUUUGAUUCUGGCGAGGUUCUGCUGCUGUUUUCAGUCCGGGAAGAGAGCUUGGAAUUUUGGGGAGGAUUCUUUGAUUCUGGUGAGGCUCUGCUGCCGUUUUCACCCCUACUUUGGGGCAAAUUCCCUUGUUCUGGGGAGAUUUCUCUCAUUUUGGGGAGGCUCUGCUGGUUUUCAGGAGGCGAGGGGAGCUCUCAAUUUUGGGGAGGAUUCUUUGAUUCUUUUAUUCUGGUGAGGGUCUGCUGCCGUUUUCAGUCUCACUUUGGGGCAAAUUCCCUCG
rnacentral:lncRNA from 1 species